GACGAACGCUGGCGGCGUGCUUAACACAUGCAAGUCGAACGAGUGGGAACGGGUGAGUAAUACGUGGGUAACCUCCCAUCAGAGGGGUUAACACUUGGAAACAGGUGCUAAACCGAUACUGAGGGAUGGACCCGCGGUGCAUUAGCUAGUUGGUGAGGUAACGGCCCACCAAGGCCACCAUGCAUAGCCGACCUGCGGGAGUGAUCGACGACAGUGGGACUGAGAGACGACCCAGGCGCGUACGGGAGACAGCGGUAGGGAAGCUACGGCAAUGGACGAAGGUCUGGCCGAGCAACGCCGGGUGAGUUAAGAAGGUUUUCGGAUCGUACAACUCUGUUGUUAGAACAGCGGUAUCUAACCAGAAAGCCACGGCUAACUACGAGCCAGCAGACGCGGUAAUUC
rnacentral:rRNA from 1 species